rnacentral:rRNA from 1 species
UACAGAGGUCCCAAGCGUUGUUCGGAUUCAUUGGGCGUAAAGGGUGCGUAGGUGGCGCCGUAAGUGGGGUGUGAAAUUUCGGAGCUUAACUCCGAAACUGCAUUCCAUACUGCGGGGCUUGAGGACUGGAGAGGAGACUGGAAUUUACGGUGUAGCAGUGAAAUGCGUAGAGAUCGGAAGGAAGACCAGUGGCGAAGGCGGGUCUCUGGACAGUAACUGACACUGAGGCACGAAGGCCAGGGGAGCAAACGGG